CCUACGGGUGGCAGCAGUGGGGAAUAUUGGACAAUGGGGGCAACCCUGAUCCAGCCAUGCCGCGUGUGUGAAGAAGGCCCUCGGGUUGUAAAGCACUUUCAGUGGGGAAGAACGCCUGGUGGUUAAUACCCAUCAGGAAAGACAUCACUCACAGAAGAAGCACCGGCUAACUCCGUGCCAGCAGCCGCGGUAAUACGGAGGGUGCGAGCGUUAAUCGGAAUUACUGGGCGUAAAGCGCGCGUAGGUGGCUUGAUAAGCCGGUUGUGAAAGCCCCGGGCUCAACCUGGGAACGGCAUCCGGAACUGUCAAGCUAGAGUGCAGGAGAGGAAGGUAGAAUUCCCGGUGUAGCGGUGAAAUGCGUAGAGAUCGGGAGGAAUACCAGUGGCGAAGGCGGCCUUCUGGACUGACACUGACACUGAGGUGCGAAAGCGUGGGUAGCAAACAGGAUUAGAUACCCUAGUAGUC
rnacentral:rRNA from 1 species